AUGAAAAAAAAGUUGUUAGUAGAACGAGAAGGAAAAAAAUGUCGAAGGUGGUGGUUUCCACCAUAAUCACCGCCUUCGUCUUUCUCGUUGUACUCUUCAUCCAAUUAACUAUCAAAUUUAAUCACAAAGACGGAUAUUACACACCUAAUGGCUUGAGCAGGCGAUUAGGGCUCAAAACUCGUGACCCGAUUUUUGAUCCUCUUGUUGCUGAAUUGGAGCAAAAGAGAAGCGGAAAAUCAAAUGAUGGAUGGCGUAAGAAGGAGGAUGAAAGAUAUUUUGAUAAUGAUGGGAGAUUGAAAACUAGUUUGAGAUUGAUGGUUUUGUUUCCUAUUUUGGACGUUGCACCUAAUGAUGGAUUUAUUGAGUAUAAAGAGCUUGAAAUUUGGAAUACACAACAAGCUAUCGAUCGAUUGCAUUAUAGGACUUCCAGUGAAAUGGAGUUUAGAGAUAAGGAUGGAGAUGGAGCUAUUUCUUUCUUUGAAUAUCUACCUCAAUUUACCAAUGAAGACUUAGAGAAAAAUGAGACAAGCCAUGGAGAUGCAGGAUGGUGGAUGGCACAAUUCAGAAAUGCUGAUGCUGAUCUAAGUGGAACUCUAAACUUAUAUGAAUUAAGAGAUUUUAUGCACCCUGAAGAUAGCAGGAACGAACAAAUACAGAGGUGGUUGUUGAGAGAAAAAAUAAGGCAAAUGGACGUAAACAAGGAUAAUAUGCUAAAUCGAUUGGAAUUUAAUAAUGGGGCUUACAAUAUUUACAAGACUUACCUUGAAUAUGAAUCUCAAGGAACCAAUAUUCCUACACCAUUUCAAGCAUUUGCCAAUCUUGACUAUGAUGGUGACGGAUUUUUGACAGUGGAAGAAUUGAAACCAAUUCUACAAUAUUUAUCCCCCGGAGAACUUUCCUAUGCUAAAGUGUACACAACUUAUUUGAUUCGAGAGGCUGAUGAUGACAAAGAUAGUAAAUUGACAUUGGAUGAGAUAUUGAACCAUGAAAGUAUUUUCUAUAAUACUGUUUAUGAUAACAGUAGGAAUGAAGAAAUUUUCCACGAAGAACUGUGAUUUAUGAGGGUUCAAAAUCUGUCGAUAGCACAAAGAUGAUGAGGCACUGAAGGUGCUACAGAUGAUGAGAAACUUAAGGUGUUAUAGUUGAUGAGGCGCAAAGAUGAUGAGGCACAACAAUUCUGCCAGUGGUUUCGGUCGUUGUAGGGCUUUUGGAGACGAUAUUGAAGAAUACUUGGAUUUCUUGAUCAUCCAAGUAGGGUAGGUCCUCACUUUCCGAGGGCGAUGCCACUAUCAAGCCAUGAUGUUAUUUUUAGUAUUAAGACUCUUUUGUUUCUUUCCUUUUCAUUUGGAUAUUAAACGUUGUAUAACCUAUAUGUUGUCUUGUUUCAUUAAUGUAUGGACUAGUCCCAAUUUGAUAUACUCUUAUUA